CUGGCUUGUUCUGAGAUUCAUUCACCUAGCUUGUUCGGAGAUUAAUUCACCAAGAUAAUAUUUCAGACAGAGGAAGGUAGGUGGCAGAGGAAGACUGCAGCUUGAGAGAGUAAGUAGCUCGAUGCAAGGCAACAAUAAGAAAAUCAGGUUUUCAGCAGAGCACAAACAGGGAACUUAGUCCUCACAGCUGCAAAAUCCAACACCGUCUUCAGAAAUGAGGCUGGAAAAGCAAACAAGAAGGAGGGAGAAGGAAAAUAAGAAAAGAAUGAACAAACAUACUGAUGCUACAGAUAUACACUGUGUGAAGA